rnacentral:rRNA from 1 species
CUGGGAUUAGAUACCCCACUAUGCCUAGCCCUAAACCUAGAUAAAAAAAUACUAUUUAUCCGCCAGAGAACUACGAGCAAAAUACUUAAAACUCAAAGGACUUGGCGGCAUUCCACAUCAAUCUAGAGGAGCCCGUCCAAUAAUCGACAACACGCGUUCAACCCCACCAUUUUUGGCCACUCCAGCCUAUAUACCGCCGUCGUCAGCUAACCUUGUGAAAGAAAAAAAGUAAGCACAACAGCCCUCGCUAAAACGUCAGGUCAAGGUGUAGCUAAUAAAAUGGCUGUGAUAGGCUACAUUUUCUCAAAAAGAAAACACAGAAAAUACAAUGAAACCUGUAUUUGAAGGCGGAUUUAGCAGUAAAAUAGGAAAGGAUACCUACUUUAACACCGCUCUGGAAUGCGCACACACCGCCGUCACCC